AUUGAACGCUGGCGGCAGGCCUAACACAUGCAAGUCGAACGAGUGGCGGACUGGUGAGUUAUGUCUGGGAAACUGCCCGAUGGAGGGGGAUAACUUCUGGAAACGGUAGCUAAUACCGCAUACCAUCGGAUGUGCCCAGAUGGGAUUAGCUAGUAGGUGGGGUAACGGCUCACCUAUGCGACGAUCCCUAGCUGGUCUUAGAGGAUGACCAGCCACACUGGAACUGAGACACGGUCCAGACUCCGACGGGAGGCAGCAGUGGGGAAUAUUGCACAAUGGGCGCAAGCCUGAUGCAGCCAUGCCGCGUGUAUGAAGAAGGCCUGCGGGUUGUAAAGUACUUUCAGCGGGGAGGCGUUACCCGCAGAAGAAGCACCGGCUAACUCCGUGCCAGCAGCCGCGGUAAUAC
rnacentral:rRNA from 1 species